GAUGAACGCUAGCUACAGGCUUAACACAUGCAAGUCGAGGGGAAACGAUAUUGGAAGCUUGCUUCCGAUAGGCGUCGACCGGCGCACGGGUGAGUAACGCGUAUCCAACCUGCCCACCACUUGGGGAUAACCUUGCGAAAGUAAGACUAAUACCCAAUGAUAUCUCAAGAAGACAUCUGAAUGAGAUUAAAGAUUUAUCGGUGAUGGAUGGGGAUGCGUCUGAUUAGCUUGUUGGCGGGGUAACGGCCCACCAAGGCGGCGAUCAGUAGGGGUUCUGAGAGGAAGGUCCCCCACAUUGGAACUGAGACACGGUCCAAACUCCUACGGGAGGCAGCAGUGAGGAAUAUUGGUCAAUGGGCGAGAGCCUGAACCAGCCAAGUAGCGUGCAGGAUGACGGCCCUAUGGGUUGUAAACUGCUUUUAUAAGGGAAUAAAGUGAGCCUCGUGAGGCUUUUUGCAUGUACCUUAUGAAUAAGGACCGGCUAAUUCCGUGCCAGCAGCCGCCGCGG
rnacentral:rRNA from 1 species